GUUCUGAGUGAGGCUGAGCCCCUGACCUUGAACCUGGGAUCCUAUCCAUGAUCUCAUGGUGCUACCGGUUAGGGGUAGAUUCCUUGUCAU
rnacentral:pre_miRNA from 1 species